GUUUCUCAUAUACGAGCACUCAGAUAUAAUAAAAGGAUAUAACAAUGGACAGGAGGAAUGAUUACACGUAUUCAAGUUAUUAUAAGACUCGUUUGACAAAGACUGUGUAUCCAUGUCAUCCGUCUCUAUGGACUGAUCAGAAUGCGAAGCACCUGAUUCCAUGCGGGAUUCAUUAUCAAGCAUCAGAAACAUCAGAUUCAUCAUUACUGCUUGAGCUAGAAUCAUCUGGAGGUAUAACAUAGUUAACCCUGCGUCUUGGAUAACCUUUGACAGCUUUACGUUCGGGCCAUUCAGCAAUGUUAGCAAGCCUUAUCUGAUCUGCAUGCACUUGAACAACUGAGUUGUCAAGCUGGUUCUUAAUAAGGUAUGUAACUGGACCUUUUUGUUCAAGGAUUCUGUAAUGCGAUUUCCAGCGAUCUUCAAGCUUGUUUUUUCUUUGAUAGUUCUUGUAAUAGACAGGAUCAUUUAUUUCAAACUUAAUGUCUUUUGCUUUUUUGUCUACUUGUGCCUUAUGUUUUCGUUUUGAGCGUUUUAAAUGUCUAUAAGCAGUAAGGAAACUUGCAUGUUGUUCUUGAAGAACUAUCUUGUGAAACUCUUCGCCAUGGUAUUUAGCUCUAGGCUUUAGCAAAUUAUCAACAGGUAAAAUCGGGUCUCUGUUGUAAAUUAAAUAGAAAGGUGUGAACUUUGAACUUGAAGAAACAUUGUGACGUAUGCCUUGUAAAAUAAUGAAAGAUUAUUUUAUUGUUUGUAAACCAGCUACACACCUGUCAAGUUGAUAUAUUGUUGAUGCAUUUAUGUAAUUGUUUAUUAUACUAAACCCACACGUUUUAUACGUCAAAUUGUCAGACAGUACGUAUGUAUGAUGUUACAGAACGACUAUAUAAUGAUGUCUAAGAUAUCUCGAGGCAGAAGGGUCUAGAAGAGACCAGGUGCAUGAGACCUAGAAAAUGGGUCUCAUAGAUACUAAGAUUAAGUUAGGCUUUAGAUAUGACAUUUGUUAAGGCUUAAGAAGUUACGAAACGAAUCAUGAAAGUCAUGUACGAAAUAUUCCACCGUGUAAAUAAACAUCAAAAAUGUAUAGACUCGUGUCGUGUUCGUGUUGUGUUUGUGUACGCUACACAACCUCUAUUCAAUUUUUCAAAAUGGGUUGUGCGACAUUACCAAGCGAAGUACUACUGCUAACGACGACACGCUGCCAAGACGAAAGAAGAAAAACUGUGAGUUGCCAUUUUACCUAUCUUCUAGUGCAAUUUUGCAAGCUAGUCUUUUCUUUUAUUAAAUUUUUGUUUCUAUUUUUGAACAAAAUUUCAAGGUAAAUUUAUUUUGAUCAAUUGUUAGACAUGAAAAGAAAUUCAAAUUUAUAAAAUGAUAAAACCUAACUCAUAAUAAACAAAAUUCUAAAAAAAAAAGAGUAAAAUAAUAGAAAAAAAAAACAACGUAAAAACAAUAAGGAAAAAUGCCUUGAGGAAAAAUACUCAAAAGACUGAAUUAAGAAAUGCAAAUGUGAAAUAUUUGUUUUUCAAAAAUUUUACUUGUCAUAUUAUGUUUAUUUUACUUGUUCCAUAUGAUAUUUGUUUCCCUUAUGGCCACAUUUAAACGGUUUUGAGCAUUCCUGCAUUGACAAAUUGUUUAAAUGAAGGAAGAUGGAUUGUCCUAUGAAACUUGUGUAUAGUCAUAGAUAUGCACAAAAUGAGUUGUAAAUAGUUUCUGUUGAGGUUAUGGGUAAUAUUCCAUCACGAAUAUAUGUGAAAAUACAAGGAACGGCUGAAAACUAGUUAAAUAUGUGGAAUUCGUGUUAAAGAUGAUUCAUGCAUGAAAAUGCAUGACUGGGUUAUGUUUACAUUGUUAUUUUUCAAAAAUAUGGUUACUUCCGGUCUCAAUAAAUUAAAAGGUUGGUCUGGUCUGUUGUGCUGGAAAUAUUUUGAAGCCUGAUAUGGCACAAGAAUAUAUUUAUUACGUAAAAAUGAUUUGAUAUUGUCGCUGGAACAUAUGGAUUCCAGUAAGGUUGAAUAUAUUGUGAGAUACUUAGAGUUACUUGAUAUUGUGUUUGUGAGACUGGAAGUUGUUAUCCCAGUUGUUUUGUAAGAUGUAUACUAUUAUACAGACACAGAUACUGUCUUCCGAAAUCUUUAAUCGGAGUCUUACUAUCAUAGCGUGAAAACAAUGCAUAUAUUGCAUUAUGAGGUACGUGUGUGUACCGGAUAUUUAAGCGCAAUAGCUUUUUGUUUUAUGAGACCUGAUGUAGUAUUUUUGUCAAAGAGUUGCAAAAACAGUCGAACGUGCUGUUACUUUUAGGUUACCUUUCAUGGUUUUUAAGCAGGGUAUUCUGUCGGAAAAUUUAUUUUUCUCGCGGACGACAUAAUAUUUCUGUUGAAUCAUGUAGAAAGGUUACAUUGUGUAAAUAUAAUCAUGGAAGAAAUCAUGAUCAUGCAGUUAUUCUAUUAUAUAUGGGUGUUGGUUGUUUGUGUUAUGUCUAUUCGUAUUUAGAUAUGACUGGGCGCUUUAUUUUGUAAUUUAUUUUGUAGCUUUCGUAUGCAUUCUUAAAUAUUAUAUAAUUAGAUUGUUUAUGUAAGAACAUAUUUUGCUUUUUGUUAGGAACAUAUUUUGACUGAUAUCUUUAUUUUUCGAAUAAUGUAAAACGUAGGAAAUAGCUUGUAAAAAAGUACAAAGAAGUAAGGUUCUCGGUAACAUAACGGUUUAUGUGAAGUACAGAUCACUUAAAAGAGGAGAUUACGAACUGGCUGGGAACAUACCAUUAAACUGUCAAAUCAAACCGAAGAAAAAGUGUAUUCCAAGUCAACAUUAUAAGUCUUGUCAUAUUGUGGACUGUCAUUAUAUAAUAGCCAAAGGAAGACUAAUUACGUGUAACGGUUACAUAUUGGGAAGUACCUGUCAAAGCAAAAUGAUGACAUUUGCAUUUGUGUAUUAUGACAAUUUGUAAACAUGCAGUUUUGAUUUUAUCUGUCAUUUAUGACAAAUGGGAACAAUAAUAUAACAUGAAGUGUAUUUUCGGUGGUCAUCUGAAAUAUUGGACAUUACUUAAUGAAACAAUAAUAUUAUAACUUUGAGAACUCUAGAAAAUUUCAGAAGUUAGCAAAUGAAGUUAGAUUGAUGAACAUCAUAAACUUGGAGAGUGCGGUACAACGUUACGGCCUAUGACGGGAGAUUUUUAGCUACUGAGACUGAUGGUGAUGCGUUACGCUGUAUAAGAAUGUCGGAACCAAAGGACAAAUGUGUAGAAAGAUGGCGAAACCAAGCGACAAUGGCGAAAGUGGACUGCAAGCUGUGAGCCUGUGAAGUUUGGCGAAGAAAAUGGUCCAGUUGGAAAAUUACAGAACACUAAAAAAACUAAUUAUCGUUUCUUUCUUUUUACUUAACAAUACAUAAUUCAUAUAUUUUGGUCAUUACAUAUUUUUUUGCUGCUUAUUCAAGAUCUGUAGUCAAAUAUCAAAAUAUUCGAAAGUAAGAUUAAUGUGCUGAUUAAAAUCUUUGUAUAAAUAAGUGAAAUUUAAAUACAUGUAUCAUGAUAAAUUUUUAUACACGCAACAAUAAUAACAAGCAAUUUAGCAAUGUUACUAAACGACUUUUAAUCUUUUUCCUAACUCUUAUAUAGCAUAUAUUCUAAAAGAUGCUCACCUGUGUUUUCCUUUAUUUUACAGUUACCGGUUUUGUGAAAUAUGAAUGUAACACGGGUUAAAGAAAAAGUCUUGGAGGAAGAAAGGAGAAGUGCCACUACAAAGGCCGAUAUAAAAUAUAAAAUAUAAAAAAAGACUUUCUAUGAAUUGUGAAAAUUGUUUAGUUUAAAAUUCUAUUCUCCUUUGUUCUUGUUUGUUGAGGCAGAAGGGUCUAGAAGAGACCAGGUGCAUGAGACCUAGGAAAUGGGUCUCAUAGAUACUAAGAUUAAGUUAGGCUUUAGAUAUGACAUUUGUUAAGGCUUAAGAAGUUACGAAAUAAAUUAUGAAAGUAUGUACGAAAUAUUACAUUGUGUAAAUAAACAUCAAAAAUGUACAGACUCGUGUUUGUGUUGUGCUAUGUGACAGCCUGCUAAAGACAUAUUAAGAUGGAGAUCCCAUUCUCAUGUAUUACCUUGAACUCUUUUUGCUAAAAUAUCAUGUAGAACUCUGUGCAUUCGUUCUUGUUCUGCAUUACUUUCUGGGUGGUAUGCUGUACAUGAUACAUUGUCAAUA